GGCUGACGCGUUUUUGAUUAAAAAGAGCAAACCGUAAAUGCGAAACUGAAAUAAUAUGAUGAGUUAUGCCAAAAUUGAAAUGUUUGAGAUGACGUUUUGGUACGCUUUUCCAUAUUUUCUUCAAGUCUCUAGUUUUGGAGACAAAAGACUAUGGCGGGAAUUUGAAAACGAGGGUUUUUUUCGGGUUAUUCGGGGAUGUCUUGAUGUUACCCAUUGUAGAUCGGACAUCAAGAGGUGGUCUGCAGUUGAUGGUGUGUGGUUUCGACUGACGUCAUGAAAGAGUUGAUAUGAAGUGAUUUUUAAGAAUUUAGCCUCUAUAGUGAAAUGGAAGAUAGACGGAAUUUUCAGAACAAUUCAAUGCUUAAAUAUUGGGAGUUUUGAUGAAAAGAGUUCCAUUUUGAAAAUCGUAUAUCGAGUUCAUUUAUCUAGUCCAAUAAUACGAAAAUAAUUUUAUUACCAAAUUUCAAAAAAUACAAAGUAUUUUUGAUGAAGAAUAAAUAUUUUUCAAACC